rnacentral:rRNA from 1 species
UACGUAGGGUGCAAGCGUUGUCCGGAAUUAUUUGGCGUAAAGAGCUCGUAGGCGGUUUGUUGCGUCGGCUGUGAAAUCCCGAGGCUCAACCUCGGGUCUGCAGUCGAUACGAGUAAACUAGAGUGUUGCAGGGGAGACUGGAAUUCCUGGUGUAGCGGUGAAAUGCGCAGAUAUCAGGAGGAACACCGGUGGCGAAGGCGGGUCUCUGGGCAACAACUGACGCUGAGGAGCGAAAGCGUGGGGAGCGAACAGG